rnacentral:lncRNA from 1 species
AUAUAAUUUGUUCAUAUGCAACCAAGGACAUCAAAUCAAUGCCACUCCUGUAGUGUUGAACUUGAAUGCAUGGCCCAGUUUGUAAUACUAAAUGAUGCUUAGUUUCCUGUAAAAGAAAGUGGAUCAUAAUACAUGCUUAGUUCGCUAAUCAGCAACGAAAGAUAUAAGUUGAGGUGCUCAGGCCUGCAACCUUGUUCUCCUAACAUGCAUGCAUUUCAUCGAACAACUGAACUGUCAGCCAACAUAC